rnacentral:hammerhead_ribozyme from 1 species
AUCCAGUUGACGAGUCCCAAAUAAGACAAAACGCGUGUUCUGGAU